AUUGAACGCUGGCGGCAUGCCUUACACAUGCAAGUCGAACGGCAGCACGGGUGCUUGCACCUGGUGGCGAGUGGCGAACGGGUGAGUAAUAUAUCGGAACGUACCUUAUUGUGGGGGAUAACGCAGCGAAAGCUGUGCUAAUACCGCAUAAUCCCUAAGGGGGAAAGCGGGGGACCGUAAGGCCUCGCGCAAUUAGAGCGGCCGAUACCUGAUUAGCUUGUUGGUGGGGUAAAAGCCCACCAAGGCGACGAUCAGUAGCUGGUCUGAGAGGAUGAUCAGCCACACUGGGACUGAGACACGGCCCAGACUCCUACGGGAGGCAGCAGUGGGGAAUUUUGGACAAUGGGCGCAAGCCUGAUCCAGCAAUGCCGCGUGCAGGAAGAAGGCCUUCGGGUUGUAAACUGCUUUGUACGAACGAAAAGGCUCUGGUUAAUACCUGGGGCUCAUGACGGUACCGUAAGAAUAAGCACCGGCUAACUACGUG
rnacentral:rRNA from 1 species